GGUAUUUGAGACCGUACAACAGGCGCAUGAUGUUCCAUUUGGAUCAUACUUUGAGGUGCACUGUAGAUGGGUUGCUGUGGCUACAUCUGAAUCUUCAUGCACUAUUGAUGUUAAAGUCGGCGUGCAUUUCAAAAAAUGGUGCGUAAUGCAAUCUAAAAUAAAGUCGGGUGCCAUCAGUGAG